UACGUAGGGGGCAAGCGUUGUCCGGAAUUAUUGGGCGUAAAGAGCGUGUAGGCGGUCCGGUAAGUCAGCUGUGAAAGUCAAGGGCUCAACCCUUGAAAGCCGGUUGAUACUGUCGGGCUAGAGUCCGGAAGAGGCGAGUGGAAUUCCCGGUGUAGCGGUGAAAUGCGCAGAUAUCGGGAGGAACACCGGUGGCGAAGGCGGGUCUCUGGGCCGAUACUGACGCUGAGGAGCGAAAGCGUGGGGAGCAAACAGG
rnacentral:rRNA from 1 species